GGCGGACGGGUGAGUAACACGUGGGCAACCUGCCUGUAAGACUGGGAUAACUUCGGGAAACCGGAGCUAAUACCGGAUAAUCCUUUUCCUCUCAUGAGGGAAAGCUGAAAGACGGUUUCGGCUGUCACUUACAGAUGGGCCCGCGGCGCAUUAGCUAGUUGGUGAGGUAACGGCUCACCAAGGCGACGAUGCGUAGCCGACCUGAGAGGGUGAUCGGCCACACUGGGACUGAGACACGGCCCAGACUCCUACGGGAGGCAGCAGUAGGGAAUCUUCCGCAAUGGACGAAAGUCUGACGGAGCAACGCCGCGUGAGCGAUGAAGGCCUUCGGGUCGUAAAGCUCUGUUGUCAGGGAAGAACAAGUAUCGGAGUAACUGCCGGUACCUUGACGGUACCUGACCAGAAAGCCACGGCUAACUACGUGCCAGCAGCCGCGGUAAUACGUAGGUGGCAAGCGUUGUCCGGAAUUAUUGGGCGUAAAGCGCGCGCAGGCGGUUCCUUAAGUCUGAUGUGAAAGCCCCCGGCUCAACCGGGGAGGGUCAUUGGAAACUGGGGAACUUGAGUGCAGAAGAGGAGAGCGGAAUUCCACGUGUAGCGGUGAAAUGCGUAGAGAUGUGGAGGAACACC
rnacentral:rRNA from 1 species